rnacentral:tRNA from 1 species
GCCGGGAUGGUUUGAUUGGUUAAGGCGUCGCCCCGGACAGGCGAAGGUUGCGGGUUCAAUCCCCGCUCCUGGCC